rnacentral:rRNA from 1 species
UAAAACGUAGGAGGCAAGCGUUAUCCGGAGUUACUGGGCGUAAAGCGCGCGCAGGCGGUGCGUUAAGUCGGGCGUGAAAGCCCCGUGCUAAACGCGGGGAGGACGAACGAUACUGGCGAACUGGAGUCGAGCAGAGGGACAUGGAAUUCCGGGUGUAGCGGUGAAAUGUGCAGAUAUCCGGAGGAACACCAGAGGUGAAAACGGUGUCCUGGGCUCAGACUGACGCUGAGGCGCGAAAGCGUGGGGAGCGAACGGGAUUAGAGACCCCGGUAGUCCACGCUGUAAACGAUGCCAACUGGAUGCCUGUGAUCCGAAAGGGUUGUGGGUGUCGGAGCAAACGCGGUAAGUUGGCCGCCUGGGGAGUACGGUCGCAAGGCUAAAACUCAAAGGAAUUGACGG